rnacentral:rRNA from 1 species
GCUAUCAGAGUGGGAUUAAGCCAUGCGAGUUAACGUAGCAAUACGUGGCAUACGGCUCAGUAACACGUAGUCAACAUGCCCAGGGGACGUGGAUAACCUCGGGAAACUGAGGCUAAACCGCGAUAGGCCAAGAUUUCUGGAAUGGAUCAUGGCCUAAAUCUAUAUGGCCCCUGGAUUGGACUGCGGCCGAUCAGGCUGUUGGUGAGGUAAUGGCCCACCAAACCUGUAACCGGUACGGGCUCUGAGAGGAGGAGCCCGGAGAUGGGCACUUAGACAAGGGCCCAGGCCCUAUGGGGCGCAGCAGGCGCGAAACCUCUGCAAUAAGCGAAAGCUUGACAGGGUUACUCUGAGUGAUUUCCGCUAAGGAAGUCUUUUGGCACCUCUAAAAAUGGUGCAGAAUAAGGGGUGGGCAAGUCUGGUGUCAGCCGCCGCGGUAAUACCAGCACCCCGAGUGGUCGGGACGAUUAUUGGGCCUAAAGCAUCCGUAGCCGGUCCUGCAAGUCCUCCGUUAAAUCCACCCGCUCAACGGUUGGGCCGCGGGGGAUACUACAGGGCUAGGAGGCGGGAGAGGCAAGCGGUACUCGAUGGGUAGGGGUAAAAUCCACUGAUCCAUUGAAGACCACCAGUGGCGAAGGCGGCCUGCCAGAACGCGCUCGACGGUGAGGGAUGAAAGCUGGGGGAGCAAACCGGAUUAGAUACCCGGGUAGUCCCAGCUGUAAACGAUGCAGACUCGGUGAUGGGCUGGCUUCGUGCCAACCCGGUGCCGCAGGGAAGCCGUUAAGUCUGCCGCCUGGGGAGUACGGUCGCAAGACUGAAACUUAAAGGAAUUGGCGGGGGGAGCACCACAGGGGUG